UACGUAGGGGCCAAGCGUUGUCCGGAUUUAUUGGGCGUAAAGAGCUCGUAGGCGGCGCGGUAAGUCGGGUGUGAAAUCUCGGAGCUUAACUCCGAAACUGCAUUCGAUACUGCCGUGCUUGAGGACUGGAGAGGAGACUGGAAUUUACGGUGUAGCGGUGAAAUGCGUAGAUAUCGGGAGGAACACCGGUGGCGAAGGCGGGUCUCUGGGCAUCUCCUGACGCUGAGGCGCGAAAGCGUGGGGAGCAAACGGG
rnacentral:rRNA from 1 species